AGAGACUGCCUGGCUAGCCCACGACAAAGGUGAAGGUAGAGGGGCCUGAGGAACCCGGCACCUGACAGUAUUCCCUUUUGAAUGAGCCAGAUGAUGUGAGCAGAAUAAUUCCCAGGCUCAGCGCCUCUCCCUUACCUGUUCAGAGUCCUCGGAGGCAACACCUGACUGGCCAGGUCUCCUGGGGGCACCUGGCUCAUUCAUAAGGGGGCUCUGGCUAUGGUUUAGGUCUAAGCCCUGUGGUAUCUGAGGAGCCUAUUCCAGAGACAGGAGGAGAGGCAGAAACAUUCAAAGAGUCAAGUGGGACGACUCAGCUGUAGCCAUUCCCUGGCAGCUUGAGCACUGGAACAGCCUCUCUUGCCAGCCUGCAAGGUGACUAUAUUUGGAUUCUGUUUAUGCAGAGACCUCAGGAAUGGAACAGCAUCCUUCUGGAGAUCACAGAGGAGGGCUGAAUCCACAGCCAGGUAAAGGGUCCAAAUGAAGGGAGCGUCAGCAAGUCCAGUGGUGUCUUCUUGGACCACAAGCAGACAAGUGGUGGAAGCUCACAGGUACUGAUGUUCAUGCUCAAAAAAUCAACCACAUGAGUGUUUCAAAUCAACAUCGGGAUCCAGCCACACUGGCUGAAAGAGCCUCCAGUGAUGAAUACUGCAUUCUUAGGUCACCUUUAGAGGACAAAGGCAGCACACCCGGCUCUAGUCAGGGCAACAAACCAGAAACUGCUCUGCUCUGCGUGAGUGCUGUGCACCGAACCAGCCCUGCUCUGACUUGGGGUGUCCUGGAACUCCCUCAGCAGCCUGCACCCUGAGUGGGGGAGCUGGCAGGCUGAGAUGUUCCCUGGGGAGGCAAGGCCUCGUCCUCACCCUCGUGGGGAAAGUCCCUGUCCCUGACCCAAGGUUGGAGACUUGUGGCCUUUCAGGCCCUCAGCACGGGGCUCCAGUGAACUGAAGGAACGUGGUGCAGGUGGCCGCGGGGGGCAGGCUGAGAGCGGGUGCACCUGCUGCUGUCACACCCAGUCUGCUCCU